CCACCUCCCACCUGGUCUCCUCUCUUCCCGCCUCCUCCCACGAAACCCUAGCCGCCGCACCGUGCAGCCGCCGCCGCCGCGCCCUCCUCCUCCUUCCACCUCCUGGCCGGCGCCCAACCACCGCGCCCUCUCCUUCCCCCUACCGCCGGCCUCUCCCUAGGUGGCGGCCAGAUCUGCCACAGCCACAGCCACGACGAGGGCUUCUGGAUCCGCGCCGCCGUCGAGCUGGGCGCGACCAUUAACCUCGGACCACACCGCCGCCACCAUGGAUGCACCAUAUCAAGGAAUUGCAAGAAAAUCAUGAGGAAUUUCUUUCAAGUCGAAUGGCUGACAAAGAGCUUCAGGUUCAUGGUUCACCAGGUUCUGCUGGCUCCACUAACAGUUGCCUACAAGCACUUGCACAGGUCAGCUGAGAUACGUCUUGCACACCUACGAGUUGAUUCUUCUAGGGAUCUUUCUAAACGAACUUUCAGUUGCAAUGCACAAAUAUGUUGCUAGAUGAGGUUUAGAACUUAGUUGGCAGAAGCUGUUUUAAGAUUAGUAUAUUGUAGUAUUUCUCUGAGGGAAUUCUGUGAAUAUUUGGUCAUUGCCAACAAAUCUAAAAUAGAAUGGAAGUGAUUGUUUGGAAUGGAUAUUACUCUGCUGCUCAUGUUUGUUACUUUUAUUGCAUACAAUAUUUUGCUUACAUGUUUGCUAAUAAACUUCUGUGAGGACCCCUGCUGGAGACAUACGGAGUUGAGGAAUAAUGCAAGUGAGUGGAGCUUGUUGAGUUGUUGUUCGCCUGAUCAUACAUGAUACGUCGAGUGUGAACUACCCAUUCUCCGCCUCUCCUACAGUCUGUAACAAAAGCGUUAGGCCUGAGUGUGUGAGUCUGUGAGAGUAGAUGGUAGGUCAUUGGAUAUAAAAGGGGCCUUUAGUAGUCCAUUUAUCUUUCCAGAAUGAAGUUGGAAGAGCACGAGCUCCUCUGCUCCACCCUUCGGGUCCCUUCCUCUGUAGUAUUUAGUUUCUUCGUUGUACGUUGUAUUUAGUUAGUACUUUUCAGAUGGCUUAACUCCCUUUCUCUGUAGUAAUUGGAGCCCAUAAGUGGAGGUGUUUGUUCCUCAUAUGCAACCUUAUUAUCUGAUAGAUAGAUUGGGAAACACAGCAGGAGUUUGAGUUUAUUUUCAUUCAGCAGAACACAACAACAGUAGUAGACUCCCGUAAAAACCAGCAGUCGAACUGAACUAGAAUACUGUGUGUAUUUUAGCUUAAGCAAUCUAGGAUUCACUCCUGGAUGUUAGAGCAACAUAUUUCAGAAUGUAAUUAAUUAAUGUUGCUUCCCACGAAGUAUAUUUCUUUUGUUUCAAUAAGCAUUAUGCACAACUCGAUGCUUGGUGCGACGUCGAGUUCAUCUUAUUAUGUGAAUAUAGUGGUUGGCAUGCUCAAUUCGUCCUCAUUGGCAUCUGAACCUGAGGCUCUUGACUUACUCAAAUGUUCUCCAGUCAUUUCCCCCUCUCCUACAAAUGUGAUCAAUUUGGCAUGGGUAUGCGUACAGUUGGAGGGCGUGUUCGGGAGCCCUCCCGCUUCUCAACUCCUCAACUCCACGUGAGGAGUGCAGCCGAACGAUCCAAAUCCUGGUUAUGAGCGAGAGAAGCUGGCGAAACUUGCAGUGCAAUUUUUGCGGAGUCGCGGAGCUGGCAAACUCGAGCUCCUCCAAAACAGCGAAGCAGGAGUUGCCAAGAAUUACAUCUAAGUGCCACCGCCAAGUGAGUUACCGGUUCGUUCGUUUAUUGCAAAUAUUACAAAUAUGUGCCACCGCCAAGGCAGUUACCGGUUCGUUCGUUCGCCAGAGCAGGCUUCCCACGCGUAGAUGGGCUGUCACGCCUAGUUGGGCCCUCCCGAGCUGCUAUUUCUCAUAGCUAGGUGGCUGGCGGCCUGUUUCAACGGCCAGAACGAGGAGCUACUCUACCGAACGAUUUGUAACUCCAGGAUUUUAACUGAGAAGCCGGCUGCUGGUUUUGGGCUAUGGAGUUGAGGAUUUUGAGGCUGUGGAGAGCUACCGAACACGCCCGGAAUUAGGCACCAUGGGAAGGAUUCAAAUCUCUGAGAAGUGUGCUAAAUCAAUAGUGCCAAUCGGUUCAGUUUCAGCUUCAAAAACAUUAGGUGGUUGAAAA